GAUGAACGCUGGCGGCGUGCCUAAUACAUGCAAGUCGAGCGAACAGACGAGGAGCUUUCUCCUCUGACGUUAGCGGCGGACGGGUGAGUAACACGUGGAUAACCUACCUAUAAGACUGGGAUAACUUCGUGAAACCGGAUCUAAUACUGCAUAAUAUAUCGAACCGCAUGGUUCAGUAGUGAAAGACGGUUUUGCUGUCUCUUAUAGAUGGAUUCGCGUCGCAUUAGCUAGUUGGUAAGGUAACGGCUUACCAAGGCAACGAUGCGUAGCCGACCUGAGAGGGUGAUCGGCCACACUGGAACUGAGACACGGUCCAGACUCCUACGGGAGGCAGCAGUAGGGAAUCUUCCGCAAUGGGCGAAAGCCUGACGGAGCAACGCCGCGUGGGUGAUGAAGGUCUUCGGGUCGUAAAACUCUGUUAUUAGGGAAGAACAAAUGUGUAAGUAACUAUGCACGUCUUGACGGUACCUAAUCAGAAAGCAACGGCUAACUACGUG
rnacentral:rRNA from 1 species